rnacentral:rRNA from 1 species
ACGUGAGGAGGUCUUGCCUGCCCAGUGACUAGUUAAACGGCCGCGGUAUUUUGACCGUGCGAAGGUAGCGCAAUCACUUGUCUUUUAAAUGAAGACCUGUAUGAAUGGUGGAACGAGGGCUUAACUGUCUCCCCCUUCAAAUCAGUGAAAUUGAUCUGCCCGUGCAGAAGCGGACAUACCUCUAUAAGACGAGAAGACCCUUUGGAGCUUAAGAUGUAAAAUCAACUACAUUAAGAAUUACCAAAGAAAAUUAAACUAAGUAGUAACUGAUCAUUAUCUUCGGUUGGGGCGACCACGGGAAAAAACAAAGCUCCCAUGCGGACUGGGAUUAUUCCCAAAACUAAGAAAGACAUUUCUAAGUCGCAGUACAUCUUACCUUUAAGAUCCGGCAACCUGCCGAUCAACGGACCAAGUUACCCUAGGGAUAACAGCGCACUCCCCUUUCAGAGUCCAUAUCGACAAGGGGGUUUACGACCUCGAUGUUGGAUCAGGACAUCCUAAUGGUGCAGCCGCUAUUAAGGGUUCGUUUGUUCAACGAUAAAGGUCCUACGUGAUCU